rnacentral:rRNA from 1 species
CCUACGGGAGGCAGCAGUGGGGAAUUUUGGACAAUGGGCGCAAGCCUGAUCCAGCAAUGCCGCGUGCAGGAUGAAGGCCUUCGGGUUGUAAACUGCUUUUGUACGGAACGAAACGGUCUGCCCUAAUACGGUGGGCUAAUGACGGUACCGUAAGAAUAAGCACCGGCUAACUACGUGCCAGCAGCCGCGGUAAUACGUAGGGUGCGAGCGUUAAUCGGAAUUACUGGGCGUAAAGCGUGCGCAGGCGGUUAUGUAAGACAGAUGUGAAAUCCCCGGGCUCAACCUGGGACCUGCAUUUGUGACUGCAUAGCUAGAGUACGGUAGAGGGGGAUGGAAUUCCGCGUGUAGCAGUGAAAUGCGUAGAUAUGCGGAGGAACACCGAUGGCGAAGGCAAUCCCCUGGACCUGUACUGACGCUCAUGCACGAAAGCGUGGGGAGCAAACAGGAUUAGAUACCCUGGUAGUCCACGCCCUAAACGAUGUCAACUGGUUGUUGGGUCUUCACUGACUCAGUACGAAGCUAACGCGUGAAGUUGACCGCCUGGGGGUAGGUACGGUUCGCGAGUUAGUUAACGUACGAAGAGUUAGACGGCGNGAGACGNGCCGACGGACGACGACGAGGGAGGAGG